UACGGAGGAUCCGAGCGUUAUCCGGAUUUAUUGGGUUUAAAGGGUGCGUAGGCGGUUUGAUAAGUUAGAGGUGAAAUGUCGGGGCUCAACCCCGAAACUGCCUCUAAUACUGUUGGACUAGAGAAUAGUUGCGGUAGGCGGAAUGUAUGGUGUAGCGGUGAAAUGCUUAGAGAUCAUACGGAACACCGAUUGCGAAGGCAGCUUACCAAACUAUAUCUGACGUUGAGGCACGAAAGCGUGGGUAGCAAACAGG
rnacentral:rRNA from 1 species